AUUUCUGUACCCAACACCAAAUGUGUGUGUAUUCUUCCUCUUUUAAUGAGUUCAGGUGAGAUUGAUAUUGAAGAAUUAGCCACACCUCUACUUUCUCCGCCUUGUUUAUAAAGAUGCCUAAUUGUGUGCCCUAAUUAUGUGAGAUAAUUUUCCAUAACCUUCCUUUCCCUUUCUACUCCCACCUUACUUCCCCUCUCUUUCUAGUCUUUCUUUAAGAUCAUCAAGACAUAACAGAACUAUCCCUACACCUGGUUUAGUUGGACUGUGUCUGUAAACUCUGAUGAUAAUAGAAAUCAGAGGGGGAAUGUAUCAUCUCAUGUUUGAAAUAAUUUUUCUUUGAUCUGGAAGCUCAAGAUUUUGGUUAUGAUGCCACUAGGAGUUUUCAUUUGAGAUCUGCUUCAGGAGGACUGGGUUGUAAACUACAAAGCUGCCAGUUGGCACCUGUCCCUGCUGCAGUACUCGAGUGUGGGAUUGAGACUCCUGAGCGCACCAGUCUCCAGUGACUGAAGACCUCCUCAUCUGUCUCCCUAUGUCAAACAAGGCUGGAAAAAAAAAACUCAUUUUGAUUUUUUUUUUUAAUUUCCCCAUCAGGAUUUAGUCUAGAGCAUUUUCUAGGUCUGUCAGGAAGUGUUUGUGGAAAAUGGCUUAUUUGCAUUGCCCUGUCAACAAGCAUUUAUUAAGGGGCUACUCAGUUUCUGGAACUGUGCAAAGUGCUGGGGAUAUUAUAUAAGGA